GUCGUUGUAGUAUAGUGGUGAGUAUCCCCGCCUGUCACGCGGGAGACCCGGGUUCGAUCCCCGGCAACAGCG
rfam:Ipomoea nil DNA, scaffold: scaffold3056, cultivar: Tokyo-kokei standard.